AGCCUAGUGGUUUAGUGGUAUAGUUACCCCCUGCCAAGGGGUAGGCCGAUUCGAUUCCUGACUAUGUGA